AUGGGCACCACCGGCCAACUUGGCCACCGACAUGGGACACAAAGCUGCAAAGUAGAAAAUCAUUCGUCGAGGAGUCGCAAGCGUCAUCGUCAUCACCGGUUGCCUCGAACGAGCGACUCCGACUUCACCAUUGAGCUCCAACCGCGAAGCCAACCCGCAAACGGCCGCAUAGAAGCCACGACGGCACAUGCCACCAGAUGGCCACACGCGCAAGCAGCCGACAGCUCCGACUUUGACGACGAGCCUCACCAGGGAAAUAUGCAGGACUUGCGCCGACCGUGCCCUCAAAGCACCUCGGACACGCCGGGAAGAGCCGACUACCGAAGUCCACGCCGCGACCCGAGCUCCUCUCGACGACAUCAUCGUUGCCAAACAGAAACCAGCGCCCCGCCUUAG
rnacentral:rRNA from 1 species